rnacentral:rRNA from 1 species
CCUACGGGAGGCAGCAGUGAGGAAUAUUGGUCAAUGGGCUUACGCCUGAACCAGCCAAGUCGCGUGAGGGAAGACUGCCCUAUGGGUUGUAAACCUCUUUUGUCAGGGAGCAACGCCGGCUACGUGUAGCCGGACUGAGAGUACCUGAAGAAAAAGCAUCGGCUAACUCCGUGCCAGCAGCCGCGGUAAUACGGAGGAUGCGAGCGUUAUCCGGAGUUAUUGGGUUUAAAGGGUGCGUAGGCGGAAUGCCAAGUCAGCGGUAAAAUCGCGGGGCUCAACCUCGCUCCGCCGUUGAAACUGGCGUUCUAGAGUGGGCGAGAAGGAUGCGGAAUGCGUGGUGUAGCGGUGAAAUGCAUAGAUAUCACGCAGAACUCCGAUUGCGAAGGCAGCAUACCGGCGCCCAACUGACGCUGAAGCACGAAAGCGUGGGUAUCGAACAGGAUUAGAUACCCCUGUAGUC